GGCCGGCGCGCGCCCGGCGGCGCCCGUGGAGUCCCAGACGCCGCCGCCCGGCGUGCCGUUCGCGCCGCCGCCGGUCCCGUUCCGGCCGCCGGCCCCC
rnacentral:tRNA from 1 species